rnacentral:tRNA from 1 species
GGAGAGUUGCCAGAGCGGACGAAUGGGACGGUCUCGAAAACCGUUGAGGUCGCAAGGCCUCCGAGGGUUCGAAUCCCUCACUCUCCG